CAGCAGUCUGUGCUUGUUUAUGGUGUGGUUACAGCUGUUGGUAGGUCAGUUGUAAAUAUCUGAUCUGGAUGCUCCUGGGAAAACCCUUUCCGUCCUCAUGAAAGAUUCAGGGGGCAGACUUACUUCACUCAGCAUAAUGCCCUCAAGGUUCAUCCACAUCGUCCCAAAUGCUUUGUGAUACAGAUGCUAUUAAGAUCUUCCUAUCUCAGACGGGAAAGUGAGGCACAGAGAGGUCACACGGCUCCAAGUGACCAAGGCAGGCUCUGAACUCUGAGGUGCAUCUCUGAAGCGCUACGCUGCACUCCCUGUAUACAGCCGAGGUUUGGGGGAUUAAUAAAAUCUACUUUUUCUCUUUGCCCAAAUUUGGGACCAUUGAGAGAUGGACACAGAGACCAAGCUAAGAAAAUGUUAAUUUGAUUACUGAUAAAGCCGGACUGAAGGAUGGCUUGGGUUUCUAGGCAAGAAGUCUUGCGACCACUUCAUUUUUCAUGAGGUUGACUUACCCAGCCAGGCACUGCACUGCCCUACGUCGCAGGUCUCCCGGUGCGGCCAGGUCCUGUCCUAGAGGAGCAGGGCAGACAGCACUCCCAGACUUACCAGUCAGAUCAUUCUUCCUUUUCCCUGGAGGAGCAGUGGGUGUGAGUGAAGCAGGGUUUGGAGGCCAAGGACGCUUCCCUAAUGGAUGGGCUAUGCUGACAGUGGGCGUGUUCUCCCAACAUUCGGAUGCAUGCAUAAAGACGGCUGUAAAAUGAAUAAACGGAGGUAUGGGGGAACACAUGGAACGGGGCAACAAUCAAGUAAGAGGAAUGGUAAUGGUUCCGUGUUACAAUCCAAGAAUAGUAAUGUUUUUGGAAAAGACAACUGAAUGAUGAUCAAUUUUUGAGAGACAAAAAAGAGCUUAAGUGAAGAGGUAGUCAAACCAGAUGCUUAAAUAAUUUUCUGAUGGUCGUCAUCAAGCACCAGUAAGGAUGUCUGCCCAGAGUGGAGCGGCCAUGCGAGAACCCGACUGUGGAGAUCGUGCGAGUCACGUGUUACCCACUGUUUCUGAGUCCAGCCUUGACUUCUCCCUCUCUUGGUGCACACGCCCAUUUGUGCAGACCAUCAUGUAAUAGCUGAUGAAAUGAAUGCCCAAAGGUGACACACCAGAGCAUUUUGGAGGCAGCGAAGAGCAGUGAAAAUUACCUCUUCCAACGCAAUACAGAGUCGGCUAUUUCUGAGGUGGCACCAAAGAAGUAAAAACUGAACCAUUGUAUUCUGAGAGAAAAGCACAGUAAGAUUCAACUUUGUGCCUCUAGAAACGUCUGGGGAAGACGCAGUCACUGGAAAGACACUCCUGACCAAACCAGCUUUCUCUGGCAAAUUGCUCGUCUUUCUAUCCCUUGGUUUCCUUUUGCGUAAAACACAGAUGUUACCUUUACACCUGCCUCAAGGACGUGCUAUGAGAAAGAGAAUGUCCUCACUGUGGAAUAAAAGUGGUUUUGGCUCUUGUGUUGUUUUGUGUUGAUUUUAACGUUUUGAGAAUAAGAAGCGAAAGAAGAAGCGGGUUUUCUCCCAAAGCUGAAGCAGCCCAGGCGGAGGGCCCCUCACUUUCCUGGGUUUUCCCAAGGUUGCACGUGUCCUUCAGGAGGGGUACAAGGAGGGGCAGCACGGCCCCAGCCUGGGGGUCACCUCACGCCCUGGUGGUGGUCCUGGUAUUGCUGUAUGGAGAGCACACUGUUAGCAUUACCUCCACCAACAUUGAAUCUUGGCAACAAACAGCCUCUGCGGGACCACUGAGCACCGGGACCCUCUCUUUAUCUCCAAGGACUGGAGCUGGGAGGGAGCACUGGAGUCGACAGUGCUUGGCUGAGUGGGAGCAGCUGCAGCAGCCUCU
rnacentral:lncRNA from 1 species